UGGGGUGGUCCGUGUUCGCCGGAAUUUGGCCAAAGAUCUCUCGGUCGAGGCGGACGGUGCCCUGUUGCUACAAGCAACCUAACAUCGCUUUGGCGAAAUAGGUUGGGCUUUCCACAAAUGGGUUCAUGGGGUAUUUAUAGGACAUUGCGGAUGUGGCUGGCUUGAACGAUGGACGCGCGACAUGAGGAUCAUGGGCACGUGUUCCGCGGGCGAGUGGAUGAAUACACUCAUGUGGUCGUGGCAAGCAGGACCCAUUGUUAGUGAGUGAGAGGGAGAGAAGAGAGAGAGGGCCCUACGUGGGUCGGUCGGCUAGCUGGACUGCUUCUAGCUUGACUUGCUGGACUCUUUUUAUUGUUUUCUUUUUCUUCUCUAUUUCACUUUUGAAAAUUCUUUUACAUUUUGAAUUUGAUUUUCCCUCAAAUUGCAAACUUGCUCGAAAUUCCAAUUAGAAUAUUUUUGUGUGA
rnacentral:lncRNA from 1 species